GAAUGUAUAGCUUUGGCUAAUUAUAUUUGUUUUAAUUGAUGAAAGAUAAAUUAAAUAUUAAAAUGUUGAUUAAUUUAUUAAUUAAUAUUGCUCAUAUUUUAUCGACUUUGUCGCAUAAAGUUCUAGAUAGAAUACUGAUUAUGACAAUUUUCUAUCUAUGUGUCUUGACCAAAUUACGUGCCAGCAGUCGCGGUAAUACGUAGAAGACUAGUGUUAUUCAUCUUUAGUAGGUUUAAAGGGUACCUAGACGGUUUAAUUAGUCCAAAAUAGGAUACGGUUUUACUAGAGUUAUAUAUAAGAAGGUGAGUAUUUGUGGAGUAGAGUUGAAAUUCUUUGAUACCACGAGGACUGGUAACGGCGAAAGCAACCUUUUAUUUAAUAACUGACGUUGAGGGACGAAGGCUCGGGUAGCGAACAGGAUUAGAUACCCUAGUAGUCCAAGCAGAAAAUUAUGAAUGCCAUAGAUUAGAUAUUUUUAGUUUAUAAAUGAAAGUGUAAGCAUUCCACCUCAAGAGUAAUGUGGCAACGCAGGAACUGAAAUCAUUAGACCGUUUCUGAAACCAGUAGUGAAGUAUGUUAUUUA
rnacentral:rRNA from 1 species